GUAGGGAAUAUUGGGCAAUGGAGGCAACUCUGACCCAGCCAUGCCGCGUGCAGGAUGACGGCCCUCUGGGUUGUAAACUGCUUUUAUACGGGAAGAAAAAAUACUACGUGUAGUAUACUGACGGUACCGUAAGAAUAAGGAUCGGCUAACUCCGUGCCAGCAGCCGCGGUAAUACGGAGGAUCCAAGCGUUGUCCGGAUUUAUUGGGUUUAAAGGGUGCGUAGGCGGAUCUUUAAGUCAGUGGUGAAAGCCUGCAGCUUAACUGUAGAAUUGCCAUUGAAACUGAAGAUCUUGAAUGUGGUUAAAGUAGGCGGAAUGUAUCAUGUAGCGGUGAAAUGCUUAGAUAUGAUACAGAACACCGAUAGCGAAGGCAGCUUGCUGAACCAUUAUUGACGCUGAGGCACGGAAGCGUGGGGAGCGAACAGGAUUAGAUACCCCAGUAGUCC
rnacentral:rRNA from 1 species